rnacentral:rRNA from 1 species
GAUGAACGCUGGCGGCGUGCCUAAUACAUGCAAGUCGAGCGAACAGACGAGGAGCUUGCUCCUCUGACGUUAGCGGCGGACGGGUGAGUAACACGUGGAUAACCUACCUAUAAGACUGGGAUAACUUCGGGAAACCGGAGCUAAUACCGGAUAAUAUAUUGAACCGCAUGGUUCAAUAGUGAAAGACGGUUUUGCUGUCACUUAUAGAUGGAUCCGCGCCGCAUUAGCUAGUUGGUAAGGUAACGGCUUACCAAGGCAACGAUGCGUAGCUGACCUGAGAGGGUGAUCGGCCACACUGGAACUGAGACACGGCCCAGACUCCUACGGGAGGCAGCAGUAGGGAAUCUUCCGCAAUGGGCGAAAGCCUGACGGAGCAACGCCGCGUGAGUGAUGAAGGUCUUCGGAUCGUAAAACUCUGUUAUUAGGGAAGAACAAAUGUGUAAGUAACUAUGCACGUCUUGACGGUACCUAAUCAGAAAGCCACGGCUAACUACGUG